UACGUAGGGGGCGAGCGUUUGUCCGGAUUUAUUGGGCGUAAAGAGCUCGUAGGCGGUUUGGUAAGUCGGGUGUGAAAUCUCCACGCUCAACGUGGAGGGGCCACUCGAUACUGCCAUGACUCGAGUCCGGUAGAGGAGUGUGGAAUUCCCGGUGUAGCGGUGAAAUUCGUAGAUAUUCGGAAGAACACCAGUGGCGAAGGCGACUCACUGGACACAUAUUGACGCUGAGGUGCGAAAGCGUGGGGAGCAAACAGG
rnacentral:rRNA from 1 species